CACAUGCAAGUCGAGCGAGACCUUCGGGUCUAGCGGCGGACGGGUUAGUAACGCGUGGGAACGUGCCCUUUACUACGGAAUAGUCCCGGGAAACUGGGUUUAAUACCGUAUACGCCCUUCGGGGGAAAGAUUUAUCGGUAAAGGAUCGGCCCGCGUUAGAUUAGAUAGUUGGUGGGGUAAUGGCCUACCAAGUCUACGAUCUAUAGCUGGUUUGAGAGGAUGAUCAGCAACACUGGGACUGAGACACGGCCCAGACUCCUACGGGAGGCAGCAGUGGGGAAUCUUAGACAAUGGGCGCAAGCCUGAUCUAGCCAUGCCGCGUGAGUGACGAAGGCCUUAGGGUCGUAAAGCUCUUUCGCCAGGGAUGAUAAUGACAGUACCUGGUAAAGAAACCCCGGCUAACUCCGUGCCAGCAGCCGCGGUAAUACGGAGGGGGUUAGCGUUGUUCGGAAUUACUGGGCGUAAAGCGCACGUAGGCGGACUGGAAAGUUGGGGGUGAAAUCCCGGGGCUCAACCUCGGAACUGCCUCCA
rnacentral:rRNA from 1 species